UACGGAGGGAGCUAGCGUUGUGAAAUACUGGGCGUAAAGCGCACGUAGGCGGCGCAGCAAGUCAGGGGUGAAAUCCCGGGGCUCAACCCCGGAACUGCCCUUGAAACUGCAGUGCUAGAAUCUUGGAGAGGCGAGUGGAAUUCCGAGUGUAGAGGUGAAAUUCGUAGAUAUUCGGAAGAACACCAGUGGCGAAGGCGACUCGCUGGACAAGUAUUGACGCUGAGGUGCGAAAGC
rnacentral:rRNA from 1 species